rnacentral:lncRNA from 1 species
UAACAAAAUUUUUUCAAUAAUAGCAAAAGUUUGUCAAUAAAUGCUGUUUACUCACAUACUUAUACUAUUGACAAACAAAAAUCUAUUAGUAAAAUAAAUUUUAUUGAUAAAUACUAGUCGUAUCUAUCAAUAAAAUACGAGUUUUUUUCUUCUUCUUCCUCUUCUUUUUCAUUUAUUUUUUUUAUUUUUUUCUUCUUUUUUUUUCUCAUCAUCAUUUGGUCAUGCGUCACCAUCGUCACUUUCAGGUCAUCUUUAUCAUUAUCUUAUUUGUCUUCCACAUUUUUUUUUUUCCUCUUCAUCUUCUUCUAACCAAUUUCUUUUACCUCCUUAAUAAGGCAUCCUUCACUUAUGUGUUAGUGGCAAUCAUCGACGUCACCAACGAACCUUCAAGUUACUAUAAAGCCAUUGUCGCUUCACCACCAAACCACCACCAUCACCACUCUUACAUCAUCUCCUCCUCUUUCUCUACCUCUUCCUCAUCUUUUUUCUCCUUCUCUUUAUCUUACCUACAUCUCUUCUUUUUCUCACCCACCUCAUCAUAAUAUACAAAAAAAUCCAUCUGAUU